GUGGGGAAUAUUGGACAAUGGGCGAAAGCCUGAUCCAGCCAUGCCGCGUGUGUGAAGAAGGUCUUCGGAUUGUAAAGCACUUUAAGUUGGGAGGAAGGGCAGUAAGUUAAUACCUUGCUGUUUUGACGUUACCGACAGAAUAAGCACCGGCUAACUUCGUGCCAGCAGUCGCGGUAAUACGAAGGGUGCAAGCGUUAAUCGGAAUUACUGGGCGUAAAGCGCGCGUAGGUGGUUUUGUAAGUUGGAAGUGAAAUCCCCGGGCUCAACCUGGUAACUGCCUGAAAAAGUGCAUGACGAGAGUACUGUAGAGGGUAGUGGAAUUUCCUGUGUAGCGGUGAAAUGCGUAGAUAUAGGAAGGAACACCAGUGGCGAAGGCGACUACCUGGACUGAUACUGACACUGAGGUGCGAAAGCGUGGGGAGCAAACAGGAUUAGAAACCCGUGUAGUCC
rnacentral:rRNA from 1 species